rnacentral:tRNA from 2 species
GCGCGUGUAGCUCAGUGGAAGAGCAGUGGCCUUCUAAGCCAAAGGUCGUAGGUUCGAUCCCUGCCACGCGUACCA